UGGCCGCGGUAUUUUGACCGUGCGAAGGUAGCAUAAUCAAUAGUCUAUUAAUUGUAGUCUGGAAUGAAUGGUUUAACGAGGGGUGGCUUUCUUAAUUUUAUAGAUGAAUUUAAAUUAUUAGUGAAAAUGCUAAUGUAAUAAAGGGGGACGAGAAGACCCUGUGGAGUUUUAUAUUUAAGCAAUAUUGAUAGUAAAAAGUUUGUUUAUUAUAUUUUGCUGGGGCGGCAAUAAGUGACAAUUAGUAUUUUAGCUCUAUUAAGAGGUAGUUGAUCCAUUAAUAGUGAUUUUUAGACCAAACUACCCCAGGGAUAACAGCGUAAUUUUAUUUUAGAGUUCUUAUCGAUAAUGAAGUUUGCGACCUCGAUGUUGGAUUAGGAUUCCUUUAAAGUGCAGAAGCUUAAUAAGGUGGUCUGUUCGACCAUUAAAUUCCUACA
rnacentral:rRNA from 1 species